UUCAUUUAAAAUUUUUGCAAUUAUAUUCAUGCCACACCACAUCUCACUUAAUUAUUUUUAAACAUUUUACUCAGUACCUUUGUAUUAUUAAGGUAAAAUGCUAAAACCUAUUUACAAAAACAUCCCUCUCAAAAAAAAUCCAAUACUUGAAACAGAGAUAAAUAAUUUUAAUGAUGAUAAAAUUGUACCUUAUGCCACCAUGACGGUCAUUACAAGCUCAACAGGACUGAUGACAUCAACAAAGUACAGUUUGUUUUGUUUUAAUACAAUUCCUAAUAUAUUGUGUGUAUUUACAGAUUAAUCUGGUGAAAACGCUGUCGGACAUCUUGUGAUGUAAUUAAUGUACACCUGAAUAAAAAAUAUAUUUAUGAAGUUUCCGAGCACAAUUCUUAAAAUGAAAUGCAGCGGAGGCACAAAUGCAGUACAAGUUAUUUUGAAAAAAUAA